rnacentral:lncRNA from 1 species
AGAACCAUUGCUUUGAGCAACGGUUAAAUAGAACCAAUUCUGAAUUCCCCUCUUGGUAAUGACAUAUAUGAGGAUGUACUAUUAAAUUUUAAGACCUAACGAAACGACCACAAGAUCCAAAAAUAAGGAGAUUAAUUUCCACAAUUUGUAAAUUGUUAUCUGAAAUAUGUUAUAUAAGCAUAGAAAACAAAUAUUUGCAUUGGGGAUCCAUUUCUGAUUUCAACCAAUAAAAC